GAUUCUCCUGCCCCAGCCUCCUGAGUAGCUGGGAUUACAGGGACGGUGGUGUCUGCUGUUCCGGGAUUGAGAGAGAUGAAGCACUUACUCACCUCAGUGACUGGUGUGCGCAGCCACUCCCUAGCCGGCUUCUUCCAUGGCAGGACCUGCAAAUGCUGGACUCACAGAAGGCUCUGAGAAGUAAAUAACAGAUGGAGUUUUACUUUUGCUGCCCAGGCUGGAGUACGAUGG
rnacentral:lncRNA from 1 species